AUUGAACGCUGGCGGCAGGCCUAACACAUGCAAGUCGAGCGGCAGCGGGAAGUAGCUUGCUACUUUGCCGGCGAGCGGCGGACGGGUGAGUAAUGUCUGGGAAACUGCCUGAUGGAGGGGGAUAACUACUGGAAACGGUAGCUAAUACCGCAUAACGUCGCAAGACCAAAGAGGGGGACCUUCGGGCCUCUUGCCAUCAGAUGUGCCCAGAUGGGAUUAGCUAGUAGGUGGGGUAAUGGCUCACCUAGGCGACGAUCCCUAGCUGGUCUGAGAGGAUGACCAGCCACACUGGAACUGAGACACGGUCCAGACUCCUACGGGAGGCAGCAGUGGGGAAUAUUGCACAAUGGGCGCAAGCCUGAUGCAGCCAUGCCGCGUGUAUGAAGAAGGCCUUCGGGUUGUAAAGUACUUUCAGCGGGGAGGAAGGUGUUGAGGUUAAUAACCUCAGCAAUUGACGUUACCCGCAGAAGAAGCACCGGCUAACUCCGUGCCAGCCGCCGCCGUAA
rnacentral:rRNA from 1 species